GGCGGGGGAGCACUACAAGGGGUGAGACCUGCGGUUCAAUUGGAUUCAACGCCGAAAAACUCACCAGGGGCGACAGUUGAUUGAAGGCCAGGUUGACGACCUUGCCGGACUAGCUGAGAGGUGGUGCAUGGCCGUCGUCAGCUCGUACCGUGAGGCGUCCUGUCAAGUCAGGUAACGAGCGAGACCCUCGCCCUUAGUUGCCAUCGAUGGGAAGUCGGGCACUCUAGGGGGACCGCUGGCGCUAAGUCAGAGGAAGGAGAGGGCAACGGUAGGUCCGUAUGCCCCGAAUCCCCUGGGCUACACGCGGGUCGCAAUGCGCAGGACAAUGGGAUGCAACCCCGUAAGGGGAAGCCAAUCCCCUAAACCUGCGCUCGGUUCGGAUCGAGGGCUGUAACUCGCCCUCGUGAAGCUGGAAUCCCUAGUAAUCGCGUGCCAACACCGCGCGGUGAAUACGUCCCUGCUCCUUGCACACACCGCCCGUCAAGCCAUUCGAGUGGGGUCUAGAUGAGGUUCGUUCAAGUUGGGCAGACCGAAUCUAGGUUCUGCAAGAAGGGCUAAGUCGUAACAAGGUAACCGU
rnacentral:rRNA from 1 species